GCUACAAAGAAAAUGAAUUAAUUUUCUUUUAAGCAUUUACUAAGAGCUUUCUCUUUUCCAGGCUCAGUGCUAAGUGUCGGGGACACAAAUACCAAAAGAGAAAAAGUUUCUGCCUUUAAGGAUUUUGUCUUGUAAUAAGGGAACUUCUAACAAGCAAUCUCCUCCUAUCAACACAACUGCUCAACAGCUGAAAAUCUAGAAUUGGCUGGGGGCAGAGAGCAGAGGACAAAUGACAUCACAGAAUGAUAUCUUGACUUGCA
rnacentral:lncRNA from 1 species